rnacentral:tRNA from 1 species
AUUUAAAUAGCUUAAAUAGAGCGUAACAUUGAAGCUGUUAAAGUGAUAAAUUAUCUUUAAAUA